GCUGGAAUCGCUAGUAAUCGCGAAUCAGAAUGUCGCGGUGAAUACGUUCCCGGGUCUUGUACACACCGCCCGUCACACCAUGGGAGUCGGGAAUGCCCGAAGUCAGUGACCCAACCGGAAGGAGGGAGCUGCCGAAGGCAGGCUCGAUAACUGGGUGAAGUCGUAACAAGGUAGC
rnacentral:rRNA from 1 species